CUGGAUUUCUCUCUCUAGAAAAGAACUCGAAAAGCCCCGUCCCCAUUCGCUUUCUCGCUCCCCCGCCUCGCCGAGAGAGAGAGAGUGGGAGGAGAGGAGGGCGGCGCCCGGCGGCGGCAUGGCGACGAAGGCGAGCAGCGCCGCCUCCGGCGCGGCCUACGAGGAGCAGCGCAGGAAGCGGGUCCUCGAGAACCUCAAGCACCUCGAGGAUUUGGGCAUAUCGGAGAUGUCGAAGAGCUUGCUCCAGGCUGCGAGGCUGCAGAAACAGAACAAGGGCGAAGUGCGCGCGAGCCCCAAGCCGAGGAAGAAGUUCGACGCCACCGAGGUGCGGCGUUCCUCGAGGGCCAAGGCCACGGUUUCCUACAAGGAUGAUUUUGGUGAACUGGAUACUUUUCUACGUCACAAAAGGCGCAGUGGUGGUAAGAAUGCAGACCCAGGAAGAGAAUAUACUGGAAGAGUUUCUUCUUAUGAACAGCAACAGCGUGCAUUCAGAAGAGCUGAGAAACUUCAAGAUGGUCUAGACCCUAAUAACCCAUCAUUUGUUAAGACCAUGGUUCGAUCACAUGUGUCCAGCUGCUUUUGGCUUGGUCUUCCUACAAGCUUCUGCAAAAAGAAUCUGCCUCCCAGUGAGUUUAGGAUGGUGUUGGAGGAUGAAGAUGGUGUCGAAUUUGAUGCUGUCUAUAUUGGAAAGCGAACAGGUCUAAGUGGUGGAUGGAGGGGCUUUGCGAUGCACCACAACUUGGAGGAUGGGGAUUCCUUGGUAUUCGAAUUGACUGAGCACGACAGAUUUAAGAACAAAGCCAAAUCCAAAGUUCCUGACAUGAAUAGUCGCGAAGAGAGCAUGUUUGCAGAGGCACCCCCUAAUGAAUCAAGCAAGCAUGGCAAGUAAGGAAUUAGCUUAGCCAUGUUCCUAUGCUGUUGGGCCUGUUAGAUUCGUAGUACUAAACUCAGGCCUUGAUGCUUACCUCUCUCCUGUGUCCCGCAUUGCAUCAAUUUUUAUGAAUAAAUCUGAGGCACUAUGGCCCUGUUUGGUUUCGCUUACCUGAGAAUCGCUUAUCUGAGAAUCAAGAUUUUCUGAUAAUCCGCUGUCUGAAGAAUCCGCUGUCUGAAGAAUCUGGGGUGUUUGGCAAUCCUGAUUAUUUGUACUGGAUUGUCUGUUAUGACUGUAAAAUGACCAUUUUGCCCCUGAGUCCUGUAAUAGCUCAUUUUGAUCGGAUUUCUCUACCAUUUUCAAAUCUAAGUAUAUUAUUACUACCAGAACUUUGUUAUAGUAUAAUUAUAGUCAUAAAACACACAAUAAUAAUAAAAUAAAAUAAUAAAUAAUAGUCAUGAUGAUUAUAGCCCAAUGGAUCACCGCGGCACUCUUGUUGCCUCUCCACCACCGACUCGCCUCUUCUCACCACCGACUGCCCCGUCCUCUUCACGUCGCCGAUGGAGUCCUCCAUCCUCGCCGCCGCCUCGGUCGCCAGGGCCUCUGUUCCUAUAACUGUCUUAUCGCCGCUCUUUCCGUCCUCUAGGCCCGUCGUCCUCCGCACCGACGUCGCCGGGCCAAGCCCCGCAGCGCGCGCCGUACGCUGCCGCGCCGCCGAGGUGUCCUGCUUGCCUCUUUCUCCUUUCUCCUGUUGUCUCGGAUGGAGUGCUCUGCAGCCUCUGCUCGCCUGCUCAGGGAGCACUUCAAUCCGGUCGAAAUCGCGCACGCCUACGAGAAGAACGCGGACGUGGGGGCGCGUGGGGGCGCGGGGCCGGCGGCAGCGAGCGGGUGCGGGGCCGCAGCGACGCGCGGGGCGGCAGCGGGGCGCGGGGGCCCGGGGCGCGGAGCCGGCGGCGGCGCGUGGGGGCGCGGGGCCGGCGGCAGCGAGCGGGGGCGGGGCCGCAGCGACGCGCGGGGACGGCAGCGGGGAGCGGGGGCGGCGGCGGCGGAAGGACCGUGAAGAAAAUGCAGUCGCUUUCCUGCGAAGCGAGGGGAAGGACGCGGAUGAGAAAAAUCGGGCGCUCGUUGUAUUUUGGAUUGCCGGAGAAGCAACGGUGGAAAAAAUCAAGCUUUUGUUGAAAGCGUUUGGCGGGAUUCUCGCGUUUCUGCAUCGAGAAUCCGAUUUUAAUCGGAACCAAACACGCACUAUGAAUAUAUAUAAUAAAAGCCAUGGAUGAGGAUGAUGUAGAAGAGGCUGAGUCUGAUGACAAGAAUGCCAGUGGGGGUACCAAGGAAGAGUCUGCCCAGGAAGAUUCACCUGCCGCUGAGCCUCCAAAAGGUGCCAAAAGAAGAAAACUACGUGGACGGCGGUAGUUUUCAGCAAAUUUGAAAUAUCGCCAUGCUAGCAAUGCAGCUCCUGUCAGGUCAUCUAUUUUGCUCGUUUUUGUUGACCUGUUCUUUUGGAAAUUAUGGGUGUCCAGUCACAACCCAUAUGUAGCUGCAACAAGUACAUCUAUCAACGUAGGCAGCCCUUGAUUCGCUGUAAAUAAGUAGUUUGACACUCAGCACUUAUAUUCUCAGAAUCCCCUAUGUGCCACUAA